UACGUAGGUGGCAAGCGUUGUUCGGAAUUAUUGGGCGUAAAGGGCGCGUAGGCGGUUUGCUAAGUCAGUUGUGAAAGCCCGGGGCUCAACCCCGGAGAGUCGGCUGAUACUGGUGGACUAGAGUACGGAAGAGGUAGCUGGAAUUCCCGGUGUAGCGGUGAAAUGCGUAGAUAUCGGGAGGAACAUCAGUGGCGAAGGCGGCUACCUGGCCCAAUACUGGACACUCAGGUGCGACAGCGUGGGGGAGCAAACAGG
rnacentral:rRNA from 1 species